rnacentral:rRNA from 1 species
GACGAACGCUGGCGGCGUGCUUAACACAUGCAAGUCGAACGGAAAGGCCCUGCUUUUGUGGGGUGCUCGAGUGGCGAACGGGUGAGUAACACGUGAGUAACCUGCCCUUGACUUUGGGAUAACUUCAGGAAACUGGGGCUAAUACCGGAUAGGAGCUCCUGCUGCAUGGUGGGGGUUGGAAAGUUUCGGCGGUUGGGGAUGGACUCGCGGCUUAUCAGCUUGUUGGUGGGGUAGUGGCUUACCAAGGCUUUGACGGGUAGCCGGCCUGAGAGGGUGACCGGCCACAAUGGGACUGAGAUACGGCCCCGACUCCUACGGGAGGCAAAAGGGGGGAAUAUUACACAAUGGGCGGAAGACUGAUGAAACAACGCCGCGUGCGGGAUGGCGGCCUUCGGGUUGGAAAACCCUUUUCGCUGUGACGAAGAGUGAGUGACGGUAAUUGGUAAAGAAGCACCGGCUAACUACGUG